GCUGGAGAGACCUAGUGGCGAACGGGUGAGGUAAUACGUAAGUAACCUGCCUGGCAAGGACUGGGAUAACACCUGGAAACGGGCGCUAAUACCGGAUAGGUAACAGAGGGCAUCCACUGUAUUAAGGUUAAAGACACAAGCAGAUGGGCUUACGGUGCAUUAGCUAGUUGGUGAGGUAACGGCCCACCAAGGCGAUGAUGCAUAGCCGGCCUGAGAGGGUGAACGGCCACAUUGGGACUGAGACACGGCCCAGACUCCUACGGGAGGCAGCAGUAGGGAAUUUUCGGCAAUGGGCGCAAGCCUGACCGAGCAACGCCGCGUGAAGUGAAGAAGAAUUUCGGUUCGUAAAGCUCUGUUGUAAGGGAAGAAUAACGCGGAGAGAAUCCGUGCAUGACGGUACCUUACCAGAAAGCCACGGCUAACUACGUGCCAGCCGCUGC
rnacentral:rRNA from 1 species